UUUAAGCAUUCCGCAUGGGGAGUACGGUCGCAAGAUUAAAANUCAAAGGAAUUGACGGGGGCCCGCACAAGCGGUGGAGCAUGUGGUUUAAUUNGACGCAANGCGCAGAACCUUACCAGCCCUUGACAUGUCCAGGACCGGUCGCAGAGAUGUGACCUUCUCUUNGGAGCCUGGAACACAGGUGCUGCAUGGCNGUCGUCAGCUCGUGUCGUGAGAUGUUGGGUUAAGUCCCGCAACGAGCGCAACCCCCGUCCUUAGUUGCUACCAUUUAGUUGAGCACUCUAAGGAGACUGCCGGUGAUAAGCCGCGAGGAAGGUGGGGAUGACGUCAAGUCCUCAUGGCCCUUACGGGCUGGGCUACACACGUGCUACAGAUGGCGGUGACAUAUGGGAAGCGAAGACGCAAGUCCUAGCAAAUCUCUAAAAACCGUCUCAGUUCGGAUUGGGCUCUGCAANCUCGAGCCCAUGAAGCUGGAACUCGCUAGUAAUACGUGGAUCAGCACGC
rnacentral:rRNA from 1 species